CGCGUAGGCGGUCUCUUAAGUCAGAUGUGAAAUCCCUCGGCUUAACCGAGGAAGUGCAUUUGAUACUAGGAGACUUGAGUAUGGGAGAGGGAAGCGGAAUUCCUGGUGUAGCGGUGAAAUGCGUAGAUAUCAGGAGGAACACCGGUGGCGAAGGCGGCUUCCUGGACCAAUACUGACGCUGAGGCGCGAAGGCGUGGGGAGCAAACA
rnacentral:rRNA from 1 species